CCGCCAAACAAGAAAGGAAAAGAUUUAAUUGAUCUAAUUUCUGGUAUUUUUUUCCCAAUAAAUCGAACAAAAAGAAUUACAUUUCCAAUUGGGCUGAACCUGGUGUUAUUGUAAUUACAGCAAUCUCCGAGCCGUCUUUUCAAAGAAUCAUCCCAGUACGCGGCGAAUGGAGAUCCACGCCCAUCCCUGGCAUCCCAUCCUUGUUACCUGAACCAAAUUCCGAAUUUAACCUUGCCACCCUCCACCACCACGACCAUGUUCAGAAGAAGAAUGGACAUUUUCGAACCACAACCACUAUCUCCCUUCACCUGCUCCAUUGAAACCCUUGAUUUCUCCGUCUUCCCAGAAGAAUCCCUUCUCUCUCUUCCUCUCCCUUUCUUCAACCCUAAACAUGGCCUCUUUGAUCUUCGUGCUUUGCCUUUUGCUGUGUUCCAUACAGUUACAGACCUGAUUCCAAUCCAAAAAAACCCAUCUUCGUCGUGUUACAGGAGGAUCAAGCACAGGACCGGUUCGGGAUUGUGUGUUCGGACCCUGUGCGAUAAGGUUUCGGAUUUCGAGCUAGGGUUUUGACCGGGGUCGUGAAGGCGAGUUUCGAGGAGGGAGACAGGAAGCACAGGUGGACGGCGGAGAUCAGGAGUACGAGGAAGGAUGCUGUUGACCGCAAGUAUAAAUGGACGGCGGAAAUUAACGGAGCAAAGUGUGGUAAGUUGACGCCUGAGAUUAAAGGGAAGCACAGUGACGAUAUAUGGACGGUUGAGAUUAAAGGUCCAAAAUCAGCUGCCGCAGUGCAGGGAAAGGUUCUAAGAAGAGUGUAUGUGCAUCUGCCAGGUGUACGGCAGAGAUUAAACACGCGGGCGAUCAUCGUGCAGCUACGUCUGUUAGACAGGCUUCUUCUGGCAAGAAAGGUGGAGCCAUUGCCAAGGUGUAAAGGCAAAGAGAAAAGUGUUGUCACCUCAAGAUGCAGCACUGAUGGUACAGAUGAACUUCAAAAUUUAUUGGGUACCUCGAUCACAAUCUCUUCAAGCCAUGCGGGAGCUGGCAUUGGCAAAGAACAAGUUGAAGGAGCUCAGGGCAUUGUUUAACAACUUCUUAUAUAUACCGCCGAUGCAUUGCCCAUGAUGCAGAGCAGCGUCAGAUGUUCUCCGAGAGGAUCAUUGUCCUCCUUCUCACUGUUGAUGCCAUAGAGGGAAUUGACCUUAUGGUUCGAGCUGCAAGGGGGUCCAUGGUAAAUGAUCUAGAGGCAAUGCUUGAUGUGACCGAUCCUCAGCUUCCUAGGAAAAUGGGUUCGGUGAGGAGGAGGAGGAAGUUUGAUCUGCCAGCUGAGGAAAGCAUUCAAAAGGAGACUGCUGCGGGCGUGGCAGAGGUUGUCCAGAUGCUCGAUCAAGAAGAUAAGUAUGGGAGUGACAACUUCGAAACCUGUCUGUGAGGAUCUUUUCUCUUUUGUCAUCAUAGAAUCUGCUUUAUUACCGACAUUCUUAGGUCUUCUAACGUCAUGCAUGCAUUGGAGCUAAGCUUGAAAUAGAUAUCCUGAUUAUUUACAUCAUUUACUUCUUGUUCCUUAUAAGUUUUCGGUAGUCCCCUAAUGUGUGAAUCUGUAUCUUCAUUUCAAUGAAGCAUGCCUUUAUGUUU